GAGAUUAUGAUGGGAGAUGGUGUCAGACUUUAAUCGUUUCAAAGUCUUUGCAGAGUCUUCUAGUAUAUGG